rnacentral:pre_miRNA from 1 species
AGUCCUUCAUUGGGGGUGCUUGCUGCCUUUGCUAGGCGAGCUGCCCAGUGAAGGGCUGU